AUGCCCAACUGGGAGGAGUGGUCUUUUUUUGAGGAAGAAGUUGGUGUUGCUGGUGUAAGGGGAGAGGAUGGAGCUGCUGAGAUCCGAAAAGAGGAUGCCCAACCUGCAAGGGUGCGACUGCUGCCUCGUCUGUUGGAAUUGCAACUUCACGGUUGCCCGAAGCUGAGGGAUCUCCCGCAACAGCUUGGAAAGGGCACCGCUUGUUUGAAGGAGCUCAGCUUAAGAGGACUAAACAACUUGAAGGCCGUGGAGAACCGCCCUGUGCUCUCUGAGGUCCUUGUUAUUGGGUUUUGUGAAGGCCUGAAGAGGAUCUGCAACCUCCCUCAAGUGACAGAGCUGCAUGUAGGUGGUUGUCCAAACUUAAGCCAUGUAGUGGGGCUGGACAGUUUGCAGCAGCUGAGGCUUGGCGGGAAUAUGCAAGAGAUCUCUUCACGCUGGGUGCCUGGGCUUCAAGAGCAGCACCAGCGACUUCAUGGCGAAGACCUGGAUGUCUACACUUCGCCUAGUAGUUAG
rnacentral:rRNA from 1 species